CUAGGCUAGAAUGUGAGGGAAUGUUGGGUAACGCCAUCAGUCCGGGAAACCGGACCCAAAACAAGGUGCUGCAUGGCUGUCGUCAGCUCGUGUCGUGAGAUAUUGGGUUAAGUCCCGCAACGAGCGCAACCCCUAUUGACAGUUGCCAAUAUUAAGUUAGGAACUCUGUCAAGACUGCUGUUGAUAAAACGGAGGAAGGUGGGGAUGAUGUCAAGUCAUCAUGGCCUUUAUGCUUAGGGCUACACACGUGCUACAAUGGCCGGUACAAAACGUCGCAAUCCCGUAAGGGGGAGCUAAUCGCAAAAACCGGUCUCAGUUCGGAUUGAAGUCUGCAACUCGACUUCAUGAAGUUGGAAUCGCUAGUAAUCGCAGAUCAGCACGCUGCGGUGAAUACGUUCCC
rnacentral:rRNA from 1 species